rnacentral:rRNA from 1 species
ACACCGUUAAGGUGGGCACUCUAAGGAAGACUGCCGGUGAACAAACCGGAGGAAGGGUGGGAUGACGUACAAGUCAUCAUCGGUCCUUACGGCCUGGGCUACACACGUGCUACAAUGGUCGGUACAAAGGGUUGCCAAGCCGCGAGGUGGAGCUAAUCCCAUAAAACCGAUCGUAGUCCGGAUCGCAGUCUGCAACUCGACUGCGUGAAGUCGGAAUCGCUAGUAAUCGUGAAUCAGAAUGUCACGGUCGAAUACGUUCCCGGGCCUU